UAAAAAAUUUGGCGGUAUUUUAGUCUAUUCAGAGGAACCUGUUUUGUAAUCGAUAAUCCACGAUGGACCUUACUUAAUUUUGUGAUCAGUUUAUAUACCGUCGUUAUUAGAAUAUUUUAUAAGAAUGUUAAUUUUCAUAAUUUUUUAAAAGAAAAUAUAUCAGAUCAAGGUGUAGCUUAUAAUUAAGUAUAAAUGGGUUACAAUAAAUUUAUUUAAACGAAUAUAAAUUUGAAAUUUUUAUUGAAGGUGGAUUUGAUAGUAAAAUUAUAAAGAUAAAUAAUUUGAUUUUAGCUCUAAAAUAUGUACACAUCGCCCGUCACUCUUAUUAUUAAGGUAAGAUAAGUCGUAACAUAGUAGAUGUACUGGAAAGUGUACCUAGAAUGCAAUUUAAAGCUUAUUAAGUAAAGCAUUUCAUUUACAUUGAAAAGAUUUUUGUGCAAAUCAAUAUAAAUUGAUUAGAUUUUAUUUAUUGAUUGAUUUUUUUUUAUUUUAUAAAUUAUUAAAAAUAAUUAUUAAGUGAUUUGUUUAAGUAUUUUAUAAAGAAAAAAUAAUUUUAAUUAUAGUUAAAUAGUAUUGUGAAAGAAAAUUGAAAUAAUUUGAAAAAUUUUUAUUU
rnacentral:rRNA from 1 species